rnacentral:tRNA from 1 species
GCUGAGGUGGUGGAAACUGGUAUACACGCAAGCAUCAGAGGCUUGUCAUCUAAUGAAAAAUAAGGUGAUAGGGGUUCAAGUCCCCUCCUCAGCA